rnacentral:rRNA from 1 species
GACGAACGCUGGCGGCGUGCCUAAUACAUGCAAGUAGAACGCUGAAGAGAGGCGCUUGCUCUUCUUGGAUGAGUUGCGAACGGGUGAGUAACGCGUAGGUAACCUGCCUUGUAGCGGGGGAUCACUAUUGGAAACGAUAGCUAAUACCGCAUAACAAUGGAUGACACAUGUCAUUUAUUUGAAAGGGGCAAUUGCUCCACUACCAGAUGGACCUGCGUUGUAUUAGCUAGUAGGUGAGGUAAUGGCUCACCUAGGCGACGAUACAUAGCCGACCUGAGAGGGUGAGCGGCCACACUGGGACGGAGACACGGCCCAGACUCCUACGGGAGGCAGCAGUAGGGAAUCGUCGGCAAUGGGGGCAACCCUGACCGAGCAACGCCGCGUGAGUGAAGAAGGUUUUCGGAUCGUAAAGCUCUGUUGUAAGUCAAGAACGGGUGUGAGAGUGGAAAGUUCACACUGUGACGGUAGCGUACCAGAAAGGGACGGCUAACUACGUG